rnacentral:misc_RNA from 1 species
UCCUNGGCNUGCUCUACAUGGCAGAUCCCCUGCGCAUCGGCGCGGCUGACUGUCAUGGGGCCUCCUUUUCAUUAUCCCUCUCGUGCUCUACAUUGGAGGGAAUCGGGUUAGAUGGCUUUGUCUGUGCGGUUCUAUCUGAGUUGGGAAACACGAUCGGUCGCAUGAUGUGUGUAGGUUGCUUGCCCGUUUGGAUAAAUUUUAUUGUUUCCAGGGUAGCCGAAUUGUUGGUGAAGCCCUCGUGCAUUGUUAUGGCGUUUCUGCUAUGGCACUGCAUGCGGGUGUUGUCGGCCCUUGCGGAUGCUGUGUCCACUAUAAGUCCUAUAGGCCAUCGGUCCACAGGCUUUGGAAGGUCCCAUCUACAGAUCGUGGGUCUGUCGGUUGCCCGUCAUGUUGGUCCUGCCUUCGUGUCGGAGCGUUGUUUGGGUUGCCUGUCCGAUCGAAUGAGCAGUGAUUGUCGGCUAGUGUUGUGAGAUGGUCCUCCCCUAAAGGGCAGUUCCGGAAACAAUGUGCUGACUCUCGUUUAAGUCGUGC